UACGUAGGGGGCAAGCGUUAUCCGGAUUUACUGGGUGUAAAGGGAGCGUAGACGGUGAGACAAGUCUGAAGUGAAAGCCCGGGGCUCAACCCCGGGACUGCUUUGGAAACUGCCUGACUGGAGUGCUGGAGAGGCAGGCGGAAUUCCUAGUGUAGCGGUGAAAUGCGUAGAUAUUAGGAGGAACACCAGUGGCGAAGGCGGCCUGCUGGACGAUGACUGACGUUGAGGCUCGAAAGCGUGGGGAGCAAACAGG
rnacentral:rRNA from 1 species